ACAGAUAAAUGAUCACCACUGGGGGCACAGAGAAUGUUUUAUUCUCCUUUUCAGGGGAGCCACUGGAGAAUUUUAAGUUCUGUGUUCAUAUUAGGUGUCCUUUAUUUGCAGGACUGGGGAUUGAACCCAAGGGCAUUCUACCACUGAGCUACAUCCCAGCCUUUUUAUUUCUUUGGUACUGGGAUUUGAACUCAGGAGUGCUUUACUGAGAGGCGUUGGAGAGGCGUUGCUAUGUGGCAGUCACAAGUCCUGAAAUGGUGGGAUUUUCUGCGUCAGUCCACUACAAAUUGAGAUUGGAACAGAAAAAUAUUUCACAGAGAUCCCAGGAAGUCAGAGAAGAGCCAACCAGAUGGACAGAGAGGACAAGAAAGACAGGAUCAUACACAAAUACACCUAUUUAAAAAGCCAAGAGUGUUUAAGCCCAAUGUUACAGGCCACGUGUGUCACCAGAGAGGCCAGGAGGUGUUUGAAGAAAAACAUGGACUUUGGAACCAGAAGCUCAGGGUGGGGGUACCAGGGAUCAAACCAACGAGGACUGUACCACUGAGCUACACCCCCAAGACAAGUUCUCGCUAAAUUGCUAAUUCAGCAGUCCUCCUGCCUCAGCCUCCCGAGUCGCUGGGAUUACAGGUGUGCACCAACCAUACAGGUCAGAAGUCUUGAUGACACACUGGAACACAGGGUCCGUCUUUUGCAGCUGGAAUCUGGCCAAGGCUGACCUCUGCCCCUGUAGAGGGUCCUCUCAUCCUCCCUUUCCUGGUGAGACCCUGCAGGACUCCAGGUGAGAGACUGGAGACUUCCUCCUUCACAGAACCGUAGCUCUUCUGAACUAGUCUUUGGGCUGAAGGUGGACUGAUGUCAGUGACCCCACAGACUAAGAGGGACGGAGCCUGUUAGUGCUUGGCCUCAGACUUCACUUCCCCUUUCUGGGCUGCAUCCUCUGGAGUAAGUGCUCCCUCUCCAUUGUCUGCCCAACCUGAUCCCCAGAUCCUGGACCUGGGAGGGAACUAACAGAUAACAGGGUAGGGGUGGCUGGCCUGGGGGGAGCUCCUCUGCAUUCUGGAAUGCUUUGAUCU